rnacentral:rRNA from 1 species
AGAGUUUGAUCAUGGCUCAGAUUGAACGCUGGCGGCAGGCCUAACACAUGCAAGUCGAACGGUAACAGGAAGCAGCUUGCUGCUUCGCUGACGAGUGGCGGACGGGUGAGUAAUGUCUGGGAAGCUGCCUGAUGGAGGGGGAUAACUACUGGAAACGGUAGCUAAUACCGCAUAAUGUCGCAAGACCAAAGAGGGGGACCUUCGGGCCUCUUGCCAUCGGAUGUGCCCAGAUGGGAUUAGCUUGUUGGUGGGGUAACGGCUCACCAAGGCGACGAUCCCUAGCUGGUCUGAGAGGAUGACCAGCCACACUGGAACUGAGACACGGUCCAGACUCCUACGGGAGGCAGCAGUGGGGAAUAUUGCACAAUGGGCGCAAGCCUGAUGCAGCCAUGCCGCGUGUAUGAAGAAGGCCUUCGGGUUGUAAAGUACUUUCAGCGGGGAGGAAGGGAGUAAAGUUAAUACCUUUGCUCAUUGACGUUACCCGCAGAAGAAGCACCGGCUAACUCCGUGCCAGCAGCCGCGGUAAUACGGAGGGUGCAAGCGUUAAUCGGAAUUACUGGGCGUAAAGCGCACGCAGGCGGUUUGUUAAGUCAGAUGUGAAAUCCCCGGGCUCAACCUGGGAACUGCAUCUGAUACUGGCAAGCUUGAGUCUCGUAGAGGGGGGUAGAAUUCCAGGUGUAGCGGUGAAAUGCGUAGAGAUCUGGAGGAAUACCGGUGGCGAAGGCGGCCCCCUGGACGAAGACUGACGCUCAGGUGCGAAAGCGUGGGGAGCAAACAGGAUUAGAUACCCUGGUAGUCCACGCCGUAAACGAUGUCGACUUGGAGGUUGUGCCCUUGAGGCGUGGCUUCCGGAGCUAACGCGUUAAGUCGACCGCCUGGGGAGUACGGCCGCAAGGUUAAAACUCAAAUGAAUUGACGGGGGCCCGCACAAGCGGUGGAGCAUGUGGUUUAAUUCGAUGCAACGCGAAGAACCUUACCUGGUCUUGACAUCCACGGAAGUUUUCAGAGAUGAGAAUGUGCCUUCGGGAACCGUGAGACAGGUGCUGCAUGGCUGUCGUCAGCUCGUGUUGUGAAAUGUUGGGUUAAGUCCCGCAACGAGCGCAACCCUUAUCCUUUGUUGCCAGCGGUCCGGCCGGGAACUCAAAGGAGACUGCCAGUGAUAAACUGGAGGAAGGUGGGGAUGACGUCAAGUCAUCAUGGCCCUUACGACCAGGGCUACACACGUGCUACAAUGGCGCAUACAAAGAGAAGCGACCUCGCGAGAGCAAGCGGACCUCAUAAAGUGCGUCGUAGUCCGGAUUGGAGUCUGCAACUCGACUCCAUGAAGUCGGAAUCGCUAGUAAUCGUGGAUCAGAAUGCCACGGUGAAUACGUUCCCGGGCCUUGUACUCACCGCCCGUCACACCAUGGGAGUGGGUUGCAAAAGAAGUAGGUAGCUUAACCUUCGGGAGGGCGCUUACCACUUUGUGAUUCAUGACUGGGGUGAAGUCGUAACAAGGUA